UCUUCCCAUUCCGAACAGAGAAGUUAAACCUUGUAACGCCGAUGGUACUGCGAAAGCGGGAGAGUAGGUAAUCGCCAUCU
rnacentral:rRNA from 1 species